CCUUAGUUUGAUCCUGGCUCAGAACGAACGCUGGCGGCGUGGAUAAGACAUGCAAGUCGCACGGAGUGCCUUCGGGCACUGAGUGGCGCACGGGUGAGUAACACGUGAGUAACCUGCCCCUGAGACAGGGAUAGCCCCGGGAAACUGGGAUUAAUACCUGAUGGUCUCGCAAGAGUAAAGCAGCAAUGCGCUCAGGGAGGGGCUCGCGUCCUAUUAGUUAGUUGGCGGGGUAACGGCCCACCAAGGCGAUGACGGGUAGCCGGUCUGAGAGGAUGUCCGGCCACACUGGAACUGAGACACGGUCCAGACACCUACGGGUGGCAGCAGUCGAGAAUCAUUCACAAUGGGCGCAAGCCUGAUGGUGCGACGCCGCGUGGGGGAGGAAGGUCUUCGGAUUGUAAACCCCUGUCAUGUGGGAGCAAGACUUCGGUUUGAUAGUACCACAAGAGGAAGAGACGGCAAACUCUGUGCCAGCAGCCGCGGUAAUACAGAGGUCUCAAGCGUUGUUCGGAAUCACUGGGCGUAAAGGGUACGUAGGCGGCAUCAUAAGUCGUGCGUGAAAGGCAGGGGCUCAACCUCUGGAGUGCGCGUGAUACUGUGAUGCUGGAGUAAUGGAGGGGGAACCGGAAUUCUUGGUGUAGCAGUGAAAUGCGUAGAUAUCAAGAAGAAGACUCGUGGCGAAGGCGGGUUCCUGGACAUUUACUGACGCUGAGGUACGAAGGCCAGGGUAGCGAAAGGGAUUAGAUACCCCUGUAGUCCUGGCAGUAAACGGUGCACGUUUGGUGUGCGGAGAUUCGACCCUCUGCGUGCCGGAGUUAACACGUUAAACGUGCCGCCUGGGGAGUACGGUCGCAAGAUUAAAACUCAAAGAAAUUGACGGGGACCCGCACAAGCGGUGGAACAUGUGGUUUAAUUCGAUGAUACGCGAGGAACCUUACCUGGGCUAGAACGGCAGUCUGCUUCUUGGGAGAGACCCCUUGAUUCUUCGGACAGACUGUUGAGGUGCUGCAUGGUUGUCGUCAGCUCGUGCCGUGAGGUGUCGGCUUAAGUGCCAUAACGAGCGCAACCCUUGCUGUCAGUUGCCAUCGGGUAAUGCCGGGCACUCUGGCGGGACUGCCAUCGCAAGAUGUGAGGAAGGUGGGGAUGACGUCAAAUCAGCACGGCCCUUACGUCCAGGGCUACACACGUGUUACAAUGGGAGGAACAAUGGGAAGCCAUCCGGCGACGGAGUGCAGAUCCCCAAACCCUCUCCCAGUUCGGAUUGGAGUCUGCAACCCGACUCCAUGAAGCUGGAUUCGCUAGUAAUCGCGCAUCAGCCAUGUCGCGGUGAAUACGUUCCCGGGCCUUGCACUCACCGCCCGUA
rnacentral:rRNA from 1 species